CCUACGGGUGGCAGCAGUGGGGGAUCUUGCACAAUGGGGGAAACUCUGAUGCAGCGACGCCGCGUGAGUGAAGAAGUAUUUCGGUAUGUAAAGCUCUAUCAGCAGGGAAGAAAAUGACAGUAACUGACAAAGAAGCACCGGCUUACUACGUGCCAGCAGCCGCGGUAAUACGUAGGGGGCAAGCGUUAUCCGGAUUUACUGGGUGUAAAGGGAGCGUAGACGGUUAUGUAAGUCUGGAGUGAAAGCCCGGGGCCUAACCCCGGGACUGCUUUGGAAAGUGUUUAACUGGAGUACAGGAGGGGCAGGCGGAAUUCCAGGUGUAGCGGUGAAAUGCGUAGAUAUCUGGAGGAACACCGGCGGCGAAGGCGGCCUUCUGGACUGAAACUGACGUUGAGGCUCGAAAGCGUGGGGAGCAAACAGGAUUAGAUACCCGAGUAGUC
rnacentral:rRNA from 1 species